rnacentral:lncRNA from 1 species
GCGGGGGGCGCGGACACGCGUGGUGUGCGCGGUCCCCGUGCAGCCCGCCCUGCCGCAGGCUGCCCUCCACCCCCAGCCCCAGCUCCAGCCCCCAGCCCGUCCCCACUGCUCAUAUCCGAGCAGAUAGACCCCGGCCCCACCCUCCCGUGCUGAGCCUCCUUUCUGCCGGGAAGUUCGUCCGGGAGUCAAACAUCGCUGCCCUCCGGUUGCGCCACGGAGGGGGAGCCAGGAUAGGAAGCUGCCGUGAAAUCAGGAAGCUGAGCGCGCCGGGCCCCGGAUCCGAACAGAAAAGGCUUCCACCCGCUCCCCUGAGGGAUCCCACGCUGAGGGACUGAACCCCGCACCCCAGCCGCGCUCACCACCCCCACCCUCUCGCCUGGGCUGCUCUGACCUGGGGAUUCCAGAACUGCCACUCAAAGUGCCCUAUGAGGAGCUGUGGUAACAAGGAAAUGUUCUCAUGACUCAAAAAUCAGUGGAAAAAGGUACAGGAUGAGAAGCCUUGUUUCCCAACCCUAUCAACAGAAACAAGAUCUUGCUCUGUUGACCAAGCUGGAGUGCAGUGGUGCAAUCAUAGCUCAUGGCAGCCUUAAACUCCUGAGCUCAAGCCAUCCUCCCACCUCACCCUUCCAAGUACAGGUGAGCACCACCAUGCCUGGCUAAUUAAAAAAAAAUUGUUUUUUGUAGACAGGGUCUUGCUAUAUUGCCCAGGCUGGUCUCAAACUCCUGGGUUCAAGCAAUCCUCCUGCCUGGGCCUCCCUAAGUACUGGGAUUACUGGUAUGAGCCACCAUGCUUGGUCAUACUUCUACUCUUCAGCAAUCUACUAUUUUUCUUUUCUUUUCUUUUUUUUUUUUUUUGAGACAGGGUCUCAC